ensembl:lncRNA
CUCCAUCGCAGAAAUCCACCGGAUGGGUCAGGAACGUUCUGUCCUUGGUGAAGGCGCGCUGGCUGUCUCAGAUCACCUAAGCCGAGGUUUCUAUCUCAAAGAACUUCAUGAAUGAGAUGAGAAGCUCUCUUCCUGUGUCUCAAUUUGUUCUGAGUAACAAGAUGAGCUCCUCAAUUCCCCUCCAUGCACCACUUGCAGUGAGUCCAGGUCUCCAACAUCUCUCUUCAAGCUCCCUCUGGGAUAGUUGGAGCAAGCCAAGAAUGAUUGCUGUGAAAGGAACAGCCUUCCGGUAUCAUUUGAGACUUUUUCCCUCUGAAAUACACAUUCCUCUUCUCUUGCCAUUCCAAAAACAAAGAUAGCAUGGAGUCAGGAGUGUCCAAGCUUAAACUCUUGCUUGAAGAUCUCUAUGAAUCUUUAGGGGGGGAACAAAAAAGAAAUGGCAAAGAAAAUAAAGGGCUGUGAUGUGACAGAAAGGCUUCUUGCCCCAGGCAGAUUUGAGACCUUCCAUCCAGACUGCAGGGAGAGCUGCUCAGUGAAAGAUGGGAUGUGGUGCUGGGAAUGCUACGAAGGUGGUACUUUGGCUCAUGGAUAUUGGAGACUGACAGCUCCCAAAUUUCCAUUGGUGUCCACUGGUAGGUGGAUUGCCAGAGAAAUAAAUCAGGGGUAGAGAGUGCCUUUGAGAAAGCAGGAGGAGGACUUGAGGCACUUAAAGUAUUGCAGAGCACGCUUUGGGGAAGGGCUGCUGGAGGAAAGCUUGCUCCCAGCCUGCACUUCCAAGGCUGUCAGCUGCUGUGCUGCCUUAUGGGUGACGUGCGUGAAGCUAUGCCAGGCUGGUGGGUGAGAAGCCUUAUGCAAACAAGAGCAUGGUAUCAACCCAAGCUGAGUCUGUCAGUGUGCAUGUGUUUUGGGAGACAGGGAAAGGGGAAGGAGCCUGCUCUGUUCUGCGUUCUGUUGUCUCUCUCAUGCCAGCAGACCCUCAGUAGGGCCACAGGGAGCUUAGGGAUGUCCCCCUGUGGUGCACAGUCCAGCGCAGGUUCU